AUUUAUAUCAUAUAUAUCGAUAAAAAGACAUGUAUAAAUGUAAAGAGAAUUUAGAAAAAUUCUGUGUAAUUGCGGCUUUAUAAAGGGUAUAAGAUCAAGUAUGAAAUGCUUCAGGAUCAAAUUUAUCAUAUUUGUUUGGUGUGUGAAACAGGUAGAGAAUGGUUUUUUCUUUGGCUCUAGUAAGCUGGAUUGGAAGUCUGCACGUGACGAUUGUGAGGGGAGGGGAAUGCGAUUGGUCUGCCUAAAGAACCUUACAAUGUAUAGAGCUGCCAAGUCCUAUUUACAAACGCUGACCAGUUUAUCUGAUGACGUGUGGAUAGGACUCCGCACAUACUCCACCUCUCCACCUUAUGUCUACCAACAUGUUGACAACGAACCUGCUGAUUUCUUUAAAUGGAACACCAAUAUUAACGAGCCCGAUGACCAGGACUCAGCUUUGUGCAUCAGACUGUAUAAAAGUUCACUGACCUACGGGACGAAGGGAUGCUUUCAUAAUUACCACUACUUAUGUGAAGAUGUACCAGUCAGCGGUCUUUGGUCGGAAUGGACCACGUGGUCUGCUUGCAGUGUCACCUCUGGUGACGGAUCUCAGUCUCGAUUUCGAUUCUGUGAUUCUCCACCCCCGUCCAACGGCGGCACUGAUUGUAUGGGAGUCAAUACCGAGGACAAAUUUUGUAAUGUAUUCGUUCCAGUUAACGGAGUUUGGUCUGCGUGGAGUGAAUGGUCGAACUGCAUACCUGUCCAGUGUGGGGUUGGAAAUCGAACGCGCUCUAGGUCAUGUGACUCCCCUCCGCCGUCAAGUGGCGGUAAACAGUGUGAGGGGUAUCCUGGAGAGAGCGAGGAAUGUAAUACCAUAGCCUGUUUAUUAAAUGAAUAUUUAACCUGUGUUUAUUUCGAAGAAGUAAGUACCGUUUCUUUGGAGGAAAAAAUUGAAAAUAUAACGAAUACACUGGCUGUGAAUAAGAGCAUCCUUUCAUCGGAAGUGCGCAAGAGGACCUGCGCAGAAGACCCGCGACCGUCAUCUCAAUACAUGGGAUUAGUGGCCAUUGUGUUUCUUGGAAUGUCAUUUGGACUACUUCUGGUUUUGGACUUUUCUUCGUUUCUGAGAUAGACUUAUGAAAAAUUCAGUGCGAAAUAAUAAUGUUAUUAAAACUAUUCUUUGCAGUUACUAAACAGUCAAACUUUC
rnacentral:sRNA from 1 species